AUCAAGGGUUUCACUGGGAUUUUUAUACAUAUACAUUUAUGAUACAAAAUGUUGCACAAUACUGGAGAGUAGACUAUAAAAUAUAGGCCCACAGAGAAGGCAGUGCAAGUUAAUAAAUCAGAUCUGCUUUCUUCUAGACAGUUUGUGAUAUCCCAAUUAUUCUAGGAAUAAUUAUGGUGGGAUUAAGGGUUUGCACAAGCCAGCCUUGCCAAAAACCUGAGGAGAAAAAAAGAUAUUUGCAUCUAUUCUGUUUCUUUCUUGUAGAUCCCUGGAAAUAUGCAAGAGAAGGAACCCUGGGAACUACCCCGUGAGGAACAAACCACACUCCACUCCCAAUUGGCUAAUAAGUAGGAAAUUCAACAGAGAAGAAGCAUCUCAAAGAAAGAAACAGGGGAAAAACAACAAGGGAACAGAAGGCAAGAUUCUUGGAAGGCAAGAGGACAGACAUAAAGACAGCACCCCAGAACACCAUUCAUUUCAGUUAGACUCAAGGAAAGGAUUCACAAAGACCUGA
rnacentral:lncRNA from 1 species